rnacentral:siRNA from 1 species
UCAAUGUCCGCCAUCAUCCUCAAC